rnacentral:rRNA from 1 species
GACGAACGCUGGCGGCGUGCUUAACACAUGCAAGUCGAACGGAAAGGCCCUGCUUGCAGGGUACUCGAGUGGCGAACGGGUGAGUAACACGUGGGUGAUCUGCCCUGCACUUCGGGAUAAGCCUGGGCAACUGGGUCUAAUACCGGAUAGGAGCCAUUUUUAGUGUGAUGGUUGGAAAGUUUUUUCGGUGUAGGAUGAGCUCGCGGCCUAUCAGCUUGUUGGUGGGGUAAUGGCCUACCAAGGCGGCGACGGGUAGCCGGCCUGAGAGGGUGGACGGCCACAUUGGGACUGAGAUACGGCCCAGACUCCUACGGGAGGCAUCAGUGGGGAAUAUUGCGCAAUGGGCGCAAGCCUGAUGCAGCGACGCCGCGUGGGGGAUGACGGCCUUCGGGUUGUAAACUCCUUUCGCUAGGGACGAAGCUUUUUGUGACGGUACCUAGAUAAGAAGCACCGGCUAACUACGUG